UUAAAAAUCAGCUGUUUCCAGUUAGAAUAAUCAUUUACCACAUUAACAAUGUCUAGACUGUAUUUCUGAUUAAUGUUAUCUUCAUUGGGGGAAAAAAAUGCUUUUCUAACAAAAAUAAAGACAUUUCUAAGUGACCCCAAACUUUUGAACGGUAGUGUAUAGCAAAGAAAUAUGUAACACACUGUUUGUGUUUAUGCUCUGCACUUCUCCAUACAGCUCAGAGCUGUUUCAAAGGAAUAUUGUCACUUCUAAAGAAAAGCCCUGUUCAUUUCCAGCCAAUCAUUUCAGUUUUCUUCUUCAUCUGUAUUCAGAAAGCAGCUCCGAGGGCACGAUCCAACUGGCAACAGACAGGACUGAAGAAACAGAAGAGAAGAAAAAGCCGUCCAGGUAGAUAAGGUUCAUCUGGGAUAUGCUACACUCACAAUCUCAUUGCUAUUCUGGAUCCAGACUUGACAUUUCUCUCAUUCGUUCCAAAUGUGACCGUAUCUGAUCCAGCCGGUCUGUUGGAGCCACGACUAUAAAGUCCAAGUCAGGUCUGUCGUUUCCUGAAAUAAAAUCUCCCUCUUUUCAUUGUAGGCAUGUGAAAAAGCAAUUUUGCACAUAAAUGCAUCCAUUUAUCGAAUAAAAAGGCCACAUGAAUCACUUGAUAACGUUUAGUCUUCAUUAAAUCUACAUGCAGUCCAAAUCAAUGUACACGCAAAGGCCAAAAAAAAAAAAAAUGGAGCAGUAGUUUUAAAGUUCAAGUUGCCUGUACUCUGAUCUGUGGUAUGGAUCAGAGGAAGCUUGAUACCGGUUUGCAUCAUGACCUUUCCGUCUCGCUGAAAUGACAACUGACACAAAAUCGUCCAGAUUGUUGUGCAUCUGUUGGCAUUUUAAUAAUCAAACAACUAUAUCAUAGACAAGGCGUGCACAUCAAAGUGCUGGAUGCCAACCUGCUGUACUGAGUACAAAUUAUACACAUUCAAGGAUAGUGGUGAACCAUCAUCUUCGAGGAACAAAUGUGGUCGGUCAUGUGGUCUGAUGAGUCCAGAUUUACCCUGUUCCAAAGUGAUGGAUGCAUCAGGGUAAGAAGUAAGGCAGAUGAAGUGAUGCACCCAUCAUGCCUAGUGCCUACAAGCCUGUGGAGGUUAUGAUCUGGGGUUGGUCAGGUUCAGCAACAUUAUGUUCCGAAAGAAUGAGGUCAGCUGAAGACCUGAAUAUAGUGAAUGACCACGUCUUUCCAUCAAUGGAGUUUUGUUCCCUGAUGGUAUACUCAUGUUUCAAGAUGACGAUGCCAGGAUUCAUGGGGCUCACAUUGUGAAUGAGUGGUUCAGGGAGCAGGAGACAUCAUUUUCACACACGGAUUGGCCUCCACUGAGUCCAGACCUCAGCCCCAUUGAGAAUAUUUGGGAUGUUCUAGAGAAGACUUUGUGCAGCGGUCCGACUCUCCCAUCAUCAAUAUAAGAUCUUGGUUAAAAAUUAAUGCAAUUCUGGACAGAAAUAAAUGCUGUAACAUUCCAGAAGCUUAUCAAAACGAUGCCGCAGCAAAUGAGUGCUGUACUCAAAGCUAAAUGUGGUCCAACAAAACAUGAGUGUGCGACUUUUUUUUUUUGUUUUUUGGUAUUUCCAGUAUUUUUUCAGUCCUUUAUUCCAACAAAUAGUAUUGUAGACUUCUAAACUUGACACUGUAAUCAUAAUAUAUGUAUACACUACCAUUCAAAAGUUUGGGGUCACUCAAACAAUUUCAUGUUUUCCAUGAAAACUCACUUUUAUUCAUGUGCUAACAUAAUUGCACAAGGGUUUUCUAAUCAUCAAUUAGCCUUUCAACACCAUUAGCUAACACAAUGUAGCAUUAGAACACAGGAGUGAUGGUUGCUGGAAAUGUUCCUCUGUACCCCUAUGUAGAUAUUCCAUUAAAAAUCAGCUGUUUCCAGCUAGAAUAGUCAUUUACCACAUUAACAAUGUCUAGACUGUAUUUCUGAUUAAUUUAAUGUUUUCUUCAUUGAAAGAAACUGCUUUUCUUUCAAAAAUAAGGACAUUUCAAAGUGACCCCAAACUUUUGAACAGUAGUGUAUAUGUAUACGUAUCGAAAGGUGGCAUAUAAGAUGGAAAUAUGUGCAUAAAAAUGACCAUUGGAAUGUACAGUUGCUGCAUUGUUAUCAGUGUAUGUAUUAGUAUUUGGAAUGUUUGGACAAAUAAACCCAUGUUUGGUGUCGUCACUA